UUUUCAAAGCUACGUCUUAAACACAUUUAUGACUCAUUGAUGAACUCCGAUAAAAAAAUGUUCAUUGUAUGUCGAGCUGAGAUUCGCAAGGGUUGCACUAACCGGUUUUCUUCCCAAAGCCUCGGUUCAGCUCCUAAUUCGCCCAUCCGAACCGCCAAACUUCUGCAAUUUCUGCUCGACGUCAACACAACAAUUUUUGUCGGAGUCUAAUAGCAAUAAUCAUUAAUCACAUCUCAACUCACCUCGAAACAUCUCCCUCGAACAUGGGAUCCUGACAAUCUCGGAGUAAGCUGGAUUUAGAGGAUCAUUGGACAAGGAAGGUCGAAAUCAUGGUUCCUUGCAGGGCUCCCUCUCAGUCAAGAGUGUGUGUGUUUACAUCAGUUGCAAUUUGGAUUGAACAUAAUUUUCAAUGCGAGGUGGUCGAAAAUGCGUCUUCUGACAUGCUCUACCUGUUGUUUGAUUAUGUUGAUAUUAGUGAAGUUGAAUCGAAUGCCAAAGGGUGUGGCACUGUAAAGGGC